rnacentral:rRNA from 1 species
GACGAACGCUGGCGGCGUGCUUAACACAUGCAAGUCGAGCGGUAAGGCCCUUUCGGGGGUACACGAGCGGCGAACGGGUGAGUAACACGUGGGUGACCUGCCCUCAGCUCUGGGAUAAGCCUGGGAAACCGGGUCUAAUACUGGAUAUGACUCCAUGACGCAUGUCGUGGGGUGGAAAGCCUUGUGCGGCUGAGGAUGGGCCCGCGGCCUAUCAGCUUGUUGGUGGGGUGANGGCCUACCAAGGCGACGACGGGUAGCCGGCCUGAGAGGGCGACCGGCCACACUGGGACUGAGACACGGCCCAGACUCC